AUUGAACGCUGGCGGCAGGCUUAACACAUGCAAGUCGAGCGAGCGGCGGACGGGUGAGUAAUGUAUGGGGAACUGCCCGAUAGAGGGGGAUAACUACUGGAAACGGUGGCUAAUACCGCAUACUAUCGGAUGAACCCAGAUGGGAUUAGCUAGUGGGUGGGGUAAAGGCUCACCUAGGCGACGAUCUCUAGCUGGUCUGAGAGGAUGACAAGCCACACUGGAACUGAGACACGGCCCAGACUCCUACGGGAGGCAGCAGUGGGGAAUAUUGCACAAUGGGCGUAAACCUGAGGUAGCCAUGCCGCGUGUAUGAAGAAGGCCUUAGGGUUGUAAAGUACGUUCAGCGGGGAGGCGUUACCCGCAGAAGAAGCACCGGCUAACUCCGUGCCAGCCGCCGCGGUAAUAC
rnacentral:rRNA from 1 species